GCCCCACGCCUGGAGCUCCCCUCUCUGGAGCCCCGGGAAAGGAAGCGGGGCAGGGAGGCCGGGUGGGAGCAGGGGGGUCUCCGGCGCUUCCUCUCCUCUGCGGGCGCCGCGCGGCUCCUGAGAGUCCGCCCCCCGUCCUGACGCUCAGCUAGGAAGCGGGUCCUCGGGCCCCUCCCCCGACACACACACACACACACACACACACACACACACACACACACACUCUCUCUCUCUCUCUCUCUCUCUCUCUCUCUCUCUCUCUCUCUCACACACACACACACACACACAGCCCGUCUCGCGCCUGAGGUCUCGCCCGCAGGCCGGUGGCGCGGGGUCAGCUGCUGCCUGCGGUCCAGGACAGGGUCGGUUCCGCCGCGCAGCGCCCAGGCCCAGCUCGUCCAGAGUCUGCGGACAGCGCACGUCCAGACAUCGCCCACUCGGGCUCACAGUGCCAUCCGGGUGAGGACCUCCGUGGAGAGCUCUCUUUGCCAAAGAAAAGCAGUUGCAUUAGGUCUGCGAGCAGGCAGGGUGGCCUCUUCCUGGCUCCCCAUCCACCAAGGAAGCUUCAAGUCCCUGGGACACAGGCACUUUCCCACACAGGAUGGAGCCGGGCCACCCUCACAGCUCCUGCCCUGCAGACGCUGGCCUUGUGGAGGGAGGCAGGCAGCAGGAGCAGUGCUUUCUGGGCCUCUGUAGCCAGAGCUGGCCCUGCUGCAGCUUACGUCUGCCUGCAGCCCAGACGUCCUCCUGGUCCUCCUGAUGCCCCCGACCUCCACGGAGGACGAGCAUUUCCAGCCCAGCCCUCCCCAUCUUCACCUCGCACUCCCCUGACACACUGGGAGCCUCCUGAUCCGUGAACCCGCGCUGGCGGGAGUAGCUACUGACCGCUGGGGACCCCUGCCCAGGCUGUUCGCAUGUGGAAAGGAUUCAGGGAGCAGGCGAUGCCCAAAGCGUGGAGACCAGCACUGCUCUCUCCCCAGUGACAGUACAGCUGUGCCGUGUACAGGAGGGUGCUGUCUGACGCCAGACACCUGGACUACAGAUCGCAGCCUGAUUCCUGGUCAUUGCUCCACUGAACCCCAGACCCCAGCCUCGUUCUGGGCCCUCAUCCCCUAGAUCCAGGGACCCCAGCCCCAUUUCAGCCCUUGGGCCCUUGUAGGAUGCGAGGCCCUGGGCCCCAGCCCCCAGCCCAUCCGUGGCCCAGGCACUGGGGGGCUGAGGUCCUCUGAGAAGGGACACAGGGCCUGGGGGGCUCUCUCAGCCCAUCAGCAGGAGAGGACUGACUCCAGAAAAAUCAGCGUUUGUACCCACUCAGGCUGCCAAGACCUGUGUCCGUCCUUCCAAGCUCAACCUUCAGAGUUCAUGAGGCCCCUUGCCCAGAAUGUCCACAGAGUUCAUGAGGCCCCUUGCCCGGAAUGUCCACAUUUGAAACCUCCCAACACCGAGCCCCAUUUCAAGUAUAACCAGGAGGGAAAAUGGUGCUUGAAAUAAGCAUGCCACAAAGGAAAACCUGCUUUCUCGAAAUGGGCCCUGGCCGCCCAGGCCCUGACCUCCCCGGCCAGGAUGGAACGUUCCAGAGACCCAUUAGUGCCAAAGGCAAAUGAAAACACACCCUGUGAAAAUGUC
ensembl:lncRNA CEROX1 cytoplasmic endogenous regulator of oxidative phosphorylation 1